rnacentral:rRNA from 1 species
AUUGAACGCUGGCGGCAGGCCUAACACAUGCAAGUCGAACGAGUGGCGGACGGGUGAGUAAUGUCUGGGGAACUGCCUGAUAGAGGGGGAUAACUACUGGAAACGGUAGCUAAUACCGCAUACCAUCGGAUGAACCCAUAUGGGAUUAGCUAGUAGGUGGGGUAAAGGCUCACCUAGGCGACGAUCCCUAGCUGGUCUGAGAGGAUGACAAGCCACACGGGGACGGAGACACGGGCCAGACUCCUACGGUAGGCAGCAGUGGGGAAGAUUGCACAAUGGGCGCAAGCCUGAUGCAGCCAUGCCGCGUGUAUGAAGAAGGCCUUAGGGUUGUAAAGUACGUUCAGCGGGGAGGCGUUACCCGCAGAAGAAGCACCGGCUAACUCCGUGCCAGCAGCCGCGGUAAUUC